UACGUAGGGGGCAAGCGUUGUCCGGAUUUAUUGGGCCUAAAGCAUCCGUAGCCGGUUCUACAAGUCUUCCGUUAAAUCCACCUGCUUAACAGAUGGGCUGCGGGAGAUACUAUAGAGCUAGGAGGCGGGAGAGGCAAGCGGUACUCGAUGGGUAGGGGUAAAAUCCGUUGAUCCAUUGAAGACCACCAGUGGCGAAGGCGGCUUGCCAGAACGCGCUCGACGGUGAGGGACGAAGCCCUGGGGCGCAAACCGG
rnacentral:rRNA from 1 species